ACGAAAGCGUGGGGGAGCAAACAGGAUUAGAUACCCUGGUAGUCCACGCCCUAAACGAUGUCAACUGGCUGUUGGGAGAGAAAUCUUUCAGUAGCGAAGCUAACGCGUGAAGUUGACCGCCUGGGGAGUACGGCCGCAAGGUUGAAAACUCAAAGGAAUUGACGGGGGCCCGCACAAGCGGUGGAUGAUGUGGAUUAAUUCGAUGCAACGCGAAGAACCUUACCUGCUCUUGACAUGCCAGGAACCUUGGAGAGAUCUGAGGGUGCCCGAAAGGGAAUCUGGACACAGGUGCUGCAUGGCUGUCGUCAGCUCGUGUCGUGAGAUGUUGGGUUAAGUCCCGCAACGAGCGCAACCCUUAUCAUUAGUUGCUACGCAAGGGCACUCUAAUGAGACUGCCGGUGACAAACCGGAGGAAGGUGGGGAUGACGUCAAGUCCUCAUGGCCCUUAUGUAGCAGGGCUUCACACGUCAUACAAUGGU
rnacentral:rRNA from 1 species